rnacentral:lncRNA from 1 species
GUGGAGAGAGCGUUCUUGUAGAGGUGUAGGUGUUCAGUGUAAAGUUGGAUGUGCACUGAGAUUCCAGUCUUUUUGCAAAGCCGCUCGAGUCGACGACCAGUGGUUUUAUGCAGGACCUUUAGUUGUAAUGUAAUAUUUUUAAAGUGCGAUAUAUAUAUAUAAACAAAUAGGCUUCAAUUUGUUUAUGUGCUACCAAACCAAACUAAAUGCAAAUUUUUGCAAAUUUAAACUGAGAUCAGAAGUUGUUUUGAGGACACGUCUGUUCGACACGUUUCUUUCUUUCUUUCUUGCUAUAAUGUUUCCCUCAUCUGUCAACUAUAUCCUAUGAAGUCACAUUGUAUCUGUUUUGUUUAUUAUUAUUUUAUCUUAUAUUAAUUGUAUUUUAUUGUGUCUGCUCUGUAACUAUGAGCACACAAACACUGAGCACAUCUCUUUCAUGAGACAGGUGUGUAUGAGAGGGACGAGGAGCUCAACAGUUGCAGAUAAACUCCUGAACACUGUCAAACUUCAACAAAAAAAGUGUUGGUACUAAAGUUCGUCUGUUAAAGGUGUAGUACCAAAAUGGAUACAUUUAUCUUUCAAGUAAGAAAGUGUGCUGGAGCUUGUUUGCAUUUGUUGUGCUCUGUAACUACAUCAUUUCUUAAAAUGCAACAAGAAUCCCUGUGGUGUAUCUGCUGCAGCAAUAACACGUUGUUUGAUGAUGUCAUCGUUCCAAACUCCCACCGGCAUGCCGUACGGUACGGUGAACCUGCUGAACGGAGUCAGUCCACCGAAACACCCGUCACUUGUACCGCCGGCGUGGGAACCUUCAUCCUGGAGUUCGCCACGCUGAGUCGACUAGCAGGAGACGCAACGUUUGAGAACGCAGCCCGCCGAGCCCUGAGAGCACUGAGAGCACUGAGAGCAGAUCUGACAUCGGGCUGCCGCAACACACAUCAAAUGAACAGAGAGCAAACAACGAUGGACGUAGUUCUUCUGCUCAUCAUGGCUGCACCAGGCAAGUGUUUUAUACGUGUUUAUAUUAUUUUAUUACAG